AAACACCAAAUUCUAUAGCUUUACAAAACACGACACGCGUGAGUUUAUUUAGGCCCGAUUGCGAGUAAAUUGAUAAAAGACACGCAUUUUUGAAGAUAGAAUGGUUCACUAUAUGUUAGGAGGUGUCUGUAAGCACACCCGAACAGAAAAAACUGGAGGCCCAAAACAAGUGAAACUAGGCUGAAACUCGUGUGUUAUAGCAAAGAGUUUUGGAUCGAAUUGGGUGAAAUUUGAAAUGAGGGGCAAUACCUCAUUUUCUUUGAAUAAUAAGGUUCCCGAUGUCAAUAUGAAAAGAAUUAAUUGAAGUGAAAGGAAUCUUGGAAAGUCACUCGAUACCAAAUAAAACAGUAAUUUCAACAACUUUAUAAAACACGGCACCCGUGAGUCUAUUUAGGCCCGAUCGCGAGUAAAUUUAUAAAAGACACACAUUUUUGAAGCUAAAAUGGUUCACUAUAUGUUAGCAGGUGUCUGUAAGAACACCNNNNNNNNNNNNNNNNNNNNNNNNNNNNNNNNNNNNNNNNNNNNNNNNNNNNNNNNNNNNNNNNNNNNNNNNNNNNNNNNNNNNNNNNNNNNNNNNNNNNNNNNNNNNNNNNNNNNNNNNNNNNNNNNNNNNNNNNNNNNNNNNNNNNNNNNNNNNNNNNNNNNNNNNNNNNNNNNNNNNNNNNNNNNUGCUAUAGCAAGGGGUUUUGGCUCGAAUUGGGUGAAAUUUGAAAUGAGGGGCAAUACCUCAUUUUCUUUCAAUAAUAAGGUUCGCGGUGCCAAUAUGAAAAUAAUUGAAGAGAAUGGAAUCUUGGAAAGUCACUCAAUACCAAUUAAAAUAGCAAAUUCAACAGCUUUCAAGAGACGGGUCAAGAUGGCCUUAGGCGGGCCUAGGAGGGUCAUAGCAUGUAAAGGCGUCCUCUUGGGGGCCCUAAACGGAUCAAGGUGGCCCCUUGGCAUCCCCAUGGCGGAUCAAGUCGGCCCUUUGGCUGCUCUAGGCGGGUCAAGGCGGCCCUACGAGGGUCAAGGUGGCCCUUUGGCGGCCCUAGCCGGGUCAAGACGGCCCCUUGGUGGCCCUAGAUGGGUCAAGGCGCCCUAUUCACGGCCCUAUGAGGGUCAAGACGGCCCAAGAUGGGUCAAGGCUAUCUUAGGAGGGUCAAGGUGGCCCCUUGGCGGGUUAAGGCGGCCAAAUGCGGGUUAAGGCUGGUCAUGCCAGUCUAAGGCCAGCCAAGGCAGCCUAAGGCGGGUCAAGGUGGCCGCUUGGUGGCCCCCUGGCUACUCUAGGCGAUUGGGGGAGGGUCAAGGCGGCCCUAAUUGGGUUAAGGCGACCUUACACAAGUCAAGGCAGCCCUACACGGGCCUUAGAGGGUCAUGGUGACCACUUGGCGAGUCAUGGCUGCCCCAUGGUGACCCUAGGCGAGCCUAGGAGGGCUAGGAAGGUCAAGGCAGGUCUAGUAGGGUCAAGGCAACCCCUGGCGGGUCAAGGUAGCGCCUUAGACGGGUGAACGCUGCCCCUUGGCUACCGUAAUGGGGUCAAAUGCGGCCUCUUAACGGCCCUAAACAGGUAAAGGCGGCCCCUUGGCGGCUUUUGGCGAGUCAAGGUGGCCCUAGGAGGGUCAAGGCGACCAAGGCAGGUUAAGGCUAGUCAUGGCGAUCCAAGGCGGCGCAAGGCGGGUCAAGGCGGUCGCUUGGCGACCCUAGGCAAGUCAAGGCAGUCCCUUGGCUACCCUAGGCGAGCCUAAGAGGGCCUAGAAGGGUCAAGGCGGCCCAAAGCGGGUCAAGGCGGCCCUAGAUGGGCUUAAGAGGGUCAGGGCGUCCCCUUUGUGAGUCAUGGCGGCCCCUUGGUGGCCAUAGACGAGCCUAGGAGGGUCAAGACUGCCCUUGGUGGGUCUAGGAGGGUCAAGGCAGCCCUUUGGUGAGUCAAGGCGGCCCCUUGGCGGCCUUAGACGGGUGAACGCGGCCCCUUGGCGGCCCUAGCGGGGUGAAGGCGGCCUCGUAGCAGCCCUAGGAGGGUCAAGGCGGGUCAAUGCGGGUCAAGCCGGCUCUAGGCGGGUCAAGACGGCCACUUGGCGACCCUAGGCAUGUAAAGGCGGGACAAUGUGAGAUAAGGCAGGUCAAGGUGGCCCUAGGCGGGUCAAGGCAGCCCUAUGGAAUACCUCAUUUUCUUUUAAAAUUAAGGUUCCCGAUGUCAAUAUGAGAAGAAUUGAAGAGAACAGAAUCUUCGAAAGUCACUCAAUUCCAAUUAAAACAAUAAUUUCAAUAGUUUUACGAAACACGGCACUCGUGAGUUAUUUUGACCCGAUCGCGAGUAAAUUGAUAAAAGACAUGGGUUUUUGGAGCAAGAAUGGUUCACUGUAUAUUAGGAGGUGUCUGUAAGAACACCCGAACAGAGAAAGCCGGAAGCCCAAAAAAGUGAAACUGGGCAGAAACUCAUGUGCUAUAGCAAGGGGUUUAAUUGGGUGAAACUUGAAAUGAGAGACAAUACCUCAUUUUCUUUUGAAACUAAGGUUUCCGAUGUCAAUAUGAAAAGAAUUGAAGAGAACAUAAUUUUAAAAAGUCACUCAAUACCAAUUAAAACAGCAAUUUUAACAGCUUUAGAAAACACAUCAGAUGUGAGUUAUUUAGGCCUAAUCGCGAGUAAAUUGAUAAAAGACAUAGAUUUUUGAAGCUAGAAUGGUUCAAUAUAUGUUAGGAGGUGUCUAUAAGCACACCAGAACGGAAAAAGCCGGAGUCCUAAAAAAAGUGAAACUGGCUAGAAACUCGUGUGCUAUAGCAAGUGGUUUUGGCUCGAAUUGGGUGAAAUUUGAAAUGAGGGGCAAUACCUCAUUUUCUUUUGAAACUACGGUUUCCGAUGUCAAUAUGAGAAGAAUUAAAGAGAACAGAAUCUUGGAAAAUCACUCAAUACAAAUUAAAACACCAAAAUUCAACAUAAUUUACAAAACACGUUACUCGUGGGUUUAUUUAGGCCCGAUCGCAAAUAAAUUGAUAAAAAACACGCAUUUUUGAAGUUAGAAUGGUUCACUAUAUGUUAGCAAGUGUCUGUAAGCGCUCCCAAACGGAAAAAGCCUGAGGCAAAAAAAAAGUGAAACUGGGCAGAAACUCGUGUGUUAUAUAGCAAGGGGUUUUGGCUCGAAUUUGGUGAAAUUUGAAAUGAGGUGGAAUACCUCAUUUUUUUUAAUAAUAAGGUUCCCGGUGUCAAUGUGAAAAGAAUUAAAGAGAACAGAAUCUUGGAAAGUCACUCAAUACCAAUUAAAACAGCAAAUUUAACAGCUUUACUAAAUAAAUUGAUAAAAGACACGGAUUUUUAAAGCUAGAAUGGUUCAUUAUAUGUUAAGAGGUGUCUGUAACCACACCCGAACGGAGAAAGACAUAGGCCCAAAAAAAGUGGAACUGGGCAAAAACUCGUGUGCUAUAAGGGUUUUGGCUCGAAUUGGUUGAAACUUGAAAUGAGGGACAAUACCUCAUUUUCUUUUGAAACAAAGGUUUCUCAUGUCAAUAUGAGCAGAAUUGAAAAGAGCGAAAUCUUGGAAAGUCACUCAAUAUCAAUUAAAACACCAAAUUCUACAAUUUUACAAAACACGACACGCGUGAGUUUAUUUAGGCCCGAUCGCGAGUAAAUUUAUAAAAGACACGCAUUAUUGAAGCUAGAAUGGUUCACUAUAUGUUAGGAGGUGUCUGUAAGCACACCCGAACAAAAAAAGCCAGAGGCCCUAAAAAAGUGAAACUGGGCAGAAACUCGUGUAUUAUAGCAAGAGGUUUUGGCUCGAAUUAGGUGAAAUUUGAUAUGAGGGGCAAUACCUCGAUCAUUUUCUUUUAAUAAUAAGGUUUUCGAUGUCAAUACGAAAAGAAUUGAAGAGAACGGAAUUUUGGAAAGUCACUCGAUACCAAUUAAAAUAGUAAUUUCAACAGCUUUACAAAACACGGUACACAUGAGUUUAUUUAGGCUCGAUCGUGAGUAAAUUGAUAGAAGACAUGGAUUUGAGGGUCAAGGGGCCCUAUUGGCGGCCUUAUGAGGGUCAAAGCGGGUCUAGGCGGCCCAAGGCGAGUUAAGGCGGCCCCUAGGCGGGUCUUGGCUGCCCUAGGCGGAUCAAGGCUGCCUUAGGAGGGUUAAGGCGGCCCCUUGGCGGGUUAAGGUGGGUCAUGACGGUCUAAGACGGCCCAAGGUAGGUCAAGGCGUGUAAAGGCGACCUCUUGGUGGCCCUAAGUGGGUCAAGGCGGCCCCUUGGCAUCCCCUAGGUGGAUCAAGGCGGCCAGGUGGGUCAAGGCGACCCUAAGAGGGUCUUAGCGGUCCUAGCCGGGUCAAGGCAGCCCCUUGAUGGCCCUAGAUGGGUCAAGGCGCCCUAUUGGCGACCUUAUGAGGGUCAAGGCGGGUUAAAGCGGCCUCUACGCGGGUCGUGGCCGUCCUAUGCGGGUUAAAGCUGCCUUAGGAGGGUCAAGUCAGCCCCUUGGCGGGUUAAGGCGAGCCAAGGCGGGUCAAGGCGGUCUAAGGCAAGCCAAGUCGGGUCAAGGCGGCCCAAGGCGGGUUAAGGCGGCCCUACAAAGGGCCUAGGAGGGUCUUGGCAACCCCUUGGUAGCCCUAGGCGAACCUUGGAGGGCAUAGAAGGGUCAAGGCAGCCCUUUGCGGGUCAAGGCGACCCCUUGGCGGCCUUAGACGGGUGAACGCGGCCCCUUUGCUGCCCUAACGGGGUCUUAGCGGCCCUAAGAGGGUCAAGGCGAGUUAAGGCAGGCCAAUGUAGGUCAAAGCGGCUCUAGGCAGGUCAAGGGGGCCGCUUGGCGACCCUAGGCAAGUAAAGGCCGGUCAAGACGGGUUAAGCCGGGUCAAGGCGGCCCCUUAGCUACCCUAGGCGGGCCUAGGAGGGUCAAGGCGGGUAAAGGUGGCCCUUAGAGGGUCAUGGCGGCCCCUUGGUGACCCUAGAUGGGUUAAGGCGCCCUAUUGGCGGCCCUAUGAGGGUCAAGCCGGGCCAAGACGGGUGAAGGCGGCCCUUUUGUGGCCCUAGAUGGGUCAAGGUGUCCUAUUGGUGGCCCUAUGAGGGUCAAGACGGCCCCUUGGUGGCCCUAGAUGGGUCAAGGUGCCCUAUUGGCGGCCCUAUGAGGGUUAAGGCAGCCCUUUGGCUACCCUAGGCGAGCCUAGGAGUGUCAAGGCGGCCCUACACUGGUCAAAAUGAGCCAAUGCAGGUCAAGGCGGCUCUAGGCGGGUCAAGGCAACCGGAAAACCUGUCUAAGGCCGCCAAGGGGCUAGCUCCUUCACCCUCUUAGACCUGCCAAGGGGCCGCCUUGACCUUCCUAGGCCCUCCUAAUCUCGCCUAGGGCCACCAAGGGGCCGCCAUGACUCGCCAAGUGCCGAGAAUGCUUGAGCAGGGUGUGAGCCUUGUGCCAUGCCCAAGCGGGGCACGCGCAGGUGUCGAAGACCUGCGCAAGAAUGCAAGGCAAGUCAGUGCAAGGAGGCGCAGCAUCGUGCACAACCAAGGUGCAUAGCACUCAUGCACCCUAGGACCCAUCAAGGUGCGCGGCCAGGUGCACAACCCGGUGUACAACUCUCAUGCACCCUAGGGUCCGGCAAGGUAUAUGGCCAGGGUGUGCAGCACUACGGCACCCCAAGGUCUAGCAAGCGUCCAGCAUGGUGCACAGCAGGGUGCGCAGCACCUAUGCACCUAAGGGUCCAGUAAGGUGCAUUACAAGGGUGCAGCGGAAGGGUGUGAUAUCUCUAGCACCCUAGGGUCCGAUAGGGUGCGAGUCUCGGGUGCACAGGGUUGUAUACACUGAUGACAAAGGCCAUGUGUUGGGAGUAGGCAACACAAUGGCAUGGUGUGGGCUGCAUGGAGGAUGGCUUGCACGAGGGUUCAAGGGCAGGCAAGGUGCAGCAAGCUAGCACUAUGUGCGCGUGCAGCGUGCAUUGGCAUCAUGGCAAGUGGGUGCGCGAGCAUCUGACGACGAGCUUCCUACAUGCAUAGUAUGUGUGACACUUGGGCAACGGUUACCAAGUAGUGGGAGUUAUCCACACCUUACUCAGAAAAGGUAGUUACCAAGUAGUGGGCGGUUAUCCAAGAAGCACUAUUCAUGGUGGUUACCACGAAGUGGGGAGCAUCAUGCGCGGCAGUUACUAAGUAGUGGGUGGUUACUUACACAAGGUGGUUGCCAAAGUAGUGAGAAGUUACCAAUAAGGAUAAGAUCAUGCGGUUACUUGGAGAAGUAGUGGGCUCACUGAUAGGUGCAUUUUAUGCAACGUUCUUAAUGUAUUUCCAACCCUAUUUAGUUAUGUAAUUCCUUUAACAAUAUUCAUUUUAACUUAGUUUGUGUUUUUAGGUUGCAAAUAAAGCCGAGGAGCACAAAAGUGACAAAAGAGGAGAAAUCUUGAAGGAAAAGGAAUUCAUAUGGCGCAAGGAAAUAAAUCAGAAAAUCUGCCAGGAAUUAUCAGUCAACUUCGACAGAGGAUUGUGAUCAGUUCACAAUGAUCCAGGAGAUGAGCCUCAUAUCAAAGGAAAGCUAGAAGAGUCUAGUUGCCAGAACUUUUCGUGGAUCGUUAAUAGCUAUUUUGGAGAAGAAGUUAUGACCGUUUGAGUGACUGAAGGUCAGUCUUCACGAAUUUCUGAUUUGAACCGGAACUUCAAUUUCAAGGCCCAGACCACAACGGCGAGCCCAUGGACGAAAAUUGAAGGUUCUCUAACCCUAAUAGCAGCUGAUCAUACGUUCCCUAUAUGUAUGAGAAGUUGGAGACGUGAAAGGGGUCGCUCUUUGCCGCAGAAAAACAAUGUCUUUCUUCUCCUUCAGAAAUUCCUCUCCAAACACAAACCCUAGUUUUAGGACUUCUCUUGCCGUGCCUUCUCAUUUGUAAUCCUCGGUGUAGUUCCUUAUUUCAAUACUCAAAGUGUAAUCUAAACUUAGACCUCAUGUUUUCUUUUACUAUCUAUUCAAUUAAUUUAGUUUGUUUCCAUCUCUCUUAUUCGUUUGUGUUCAUGAGUUGGAUUUUUUAUUGAGUUUGUUCUUAUGAUCAUGAUAAUUAGAUCUGUACGUAUGGUUGAGUUGUUGGUGUAAUUGAUGAUGCUUUUAAUCAAUAUGUGUCAUUGUUUGUGUUAAGUCUGCAUCGGUAAAGACGAACUAGAAUGGUAAGGAGUCAUAGGGUGCAUGCUAGGAUGUUUUUGAAGUCUGCGUCGGUGAAUUAUAUUCUAACAUGUUCAAGUUCUUCCUCUGAUCUAUUUUAGAUAUGAAGUCCGCAUCGGUACAUAUCUAUGAGAAGUUAGAAAGGUUUUAAGUAGUUAAGUCUGCGUCGGUAAAUCACUUGAAACAUGGAAUUUGAUUUGUUUCUCCAUAUGCAUGAUUUAGGUUGUUAGGGUUGAAAUUGUAUAGCGACUUGGUUAUAUGAAUCUGAUUUAGUGUUUUCUUGUGUGCAAAGAGACGAUCACAUGUAUAUAGUAGCUUAGGUUUUUGUUUCUUUAUAGUUUAGGAUUCGUCACUCUUCUGUUCCCUAUUUUCUUUUAUUUUCUUUUCAUAUCAAACGAUCUCCGAAUCCCCUGAGAAUUUGUACAGCUGUUCAUAUGUGUGUCUAAUAUAUCUCUGUAAAUUUUCAUAUUUUUCUGAGUAGUUUAGAUUAGAUUUUUAAUUAUGUUUUUGACUUAUGUUCGUUAGGAACAGUAGUUACUUUUGUAAAUUGUUUAAAGGUUUUAUUACUUGUUAAUAUUUGUUGUGUUUUAAUAACGCUUUGUUUUGCAAGGUGCCCUCAAUCCCCGACCCUAUACGAUACAUUUAUUUACCUUCUGCUACUAACGAUAAAAAGGGUUUAUUUGAUGCAGGUUUUGCACCCAUCACUCACAAAAGGAAGUUGCAUAUGCUUGGCAUGCAUGCAUGUUGCCACAUCACCGUAGGCGGUUGGGGGUGUUUGUCACACCCCGGUUCUUAAGUUAUUAUACGGUUAUUUACUUUGGUAUUAUUUUGGUCUUUUACCGUGUUAAGUAACCGUUUACCACUUAAGGACCCUAGAGUUGACUUUUUCUUCCAUUUGGAAUUUGGGAAAACUUUCUUCAUGAAAGUUGUAGAUGACGUUAUUACGAGUUCGUAGACAUGCUAUACGUUAAAAUAGGGGUUAGCAUGAAAAAGUUAUCACAUAAAUGGUAAAGUUUUUGAGUUGGUAAAAAGGGGGUAAAAUUUUAGUGGGUAUAUUAUUAUGGGUUUUAUUGUUGGACCGGGUGUGGGCAGCCCAGCACCCACCCCCCCCCCCCCCNNNNNNNNNNNNNNNNNNNNCNCUUCUCUCUCUCUCUCUCUCUCUCUCUCUCUCUCUCUCUCUCUCUCUCUCUUCCUCCCUUCUCUCCCGAGCUCUCCCGACCUGAAAACUUUCCGACCGCCGUCUGCCGCCGUCCGACCGAGAUAGGAGGCAUGCUUGGUAUCAAAUCGAAGCUUGGAACA
rnacentral:lncRNA from 1 species